CACGCCGCCGCCGCCCCGCGCUGCCCGGCGCGGAGGUCCCGGUCCCGAGCGCGGAGCCGCGGUCCCUCUUCGGGGAGAGCGCUGGGAAUGAGCGCUGGGAAUGAGCGCAGCGUUAAAGCCCCGCUGAUACGCGUAAUGAAUCCAAAGGAACCCGCGGCAGCAGAGUUAACACCUCCGCGGGAGGAGGGGGGAAAUAAUCGAGGAAGCAAUUAAUAAAGGGCUUUAAAAAAUCAAUUUCCCCCUGCGCGAAUUGGAAAUGAUGAUGGAGGGGACAGGGAUGGAUCGCUGGGUGUCGGCAGCGCGAGUUGUUGCGCCUUCGUGUCUCGGCCGCGUCCUUCCCCCGGAGUUGGCGGAGGGGCCGCGGACGCCGCGCACAGUGACACGCGGAGCUGUCAGCCCGAACGCUCCGUACGCGUCGCACGGCCCCGCAUGAAUAAUACGGGCAAAUGGGAGACGUGGGAGCAAUGUCUUAAAGGAAAAAAAAAAAAAAAAAAAAAAAGAAAGAAAGAAAGAAAAAAAAACAGAAAAAGAAAAAAAGCAGACUCCGGAGCCACACUCAGCCAUGUGCCUGCGUCGGAGUUUAUGCUUAUGCGCAGCGAUGUUCAAUGCAUUUAGGCUGCCAGUUUGCCUUUCCCGGACCGUUCUCCCCACUCCCAGCCUCGCUCCCCUCCGCUACCCCUGGGGCCCCCGUCCUCGAGGACCAGGACAAACCAACCCUUCUCCCCAAAAACAGCUGCCAGAGGGAGGGAAGCCCCGUGGCGCUCCCGUUUCUCGCUGCCCCCCGGGACAGCCGUCACCCUCCCCCGGCUCCAACAGCGCGGAAAAUGAGCGGCCCGACGGCACCGACGGCUGCGAGGAGGCGGCCUUUUGGGGAGCACGGGCGUGAGGACACCCGCCUCAGGGUCACUCCCAAUGCAAAAAGCGAAACAAAGCAUCGGAAAAGGAAAGGAGGGGAAAAAGUGGGAAAAAUAAAUAAAUAAGAAUGAAAAGAAGAGGUACGGAUCGCAGCUCCUCCCCCCUGGGGACCCGGCCGACGGCCAACGCAGGGGCGCGGGGGUUGCCGGGCCCGUCCCGUCGCAGGUGGGGAGCGCCCCCCCCCCGCAACGUACGGGCAGCGAGGGCACGAAGAGGAGCGCGGACGAAGGCACGGAGCUCCUGGGACACUGUCGCAAAACUACUUCGCCCCCGCGGGGGAGACAUCCCGGCACCCUAUAGAGCACCCGGACCUCAUCCUUCUCAGCACGGCCUCAAGGAGCUCCGCGCCACCAACCCCCCCCCAACUCCACCCCCCUCCAACCCCUCCCCGGAGCUCGGCGUUGAUCCCUUCCCUUCCCAACUUCCACCCCACUUUCUUCCCCCUUUCCCCAUCCUCCUUCCUCCGGCUCCGCGGGACUGAACACCCCGCAAAGCGCCCCCCCUUCCCCCGCCGCCCCGUCCCCGAAAGCAGCCCGCACCCCGAUGACCGCCCCGCGUGCUCUCAACCCGGCGCCGGCAGCUCUCGGGGCAGCAUAAAGCGGCACUGUGCGCUCAUCGCCCGGCGGGGAGCGGCCCCGCACCCCGUGCCACAGAAGAGCGCUUAUUUCUCCUAAUAUCCCUAAAUCGGUGGGUUUUGUCCCCCCUGCAAAGGGACCCAUUGACCGUGAGGGGAUUUCUCCGAGCGAAACGAGGGGAAUCAUUUUGAAUGAGCGUCAGCGUUGCCUCGGCUUUAAGCAUUUCCAAAGCAAAGCGUUGGAUUUCAUAUUUCUAAGAGGAAUUUACGUUUGUACAUUGACUCACGGCGUGACGUAGAGCGGAGUCGAUUCCCUCCCUCCCCUCCCUCCCUCCCCCCUCUCCCCCCCCCCACCGCCCCCCCACCCCCCAUUCAGCUGAUUUCGGUCGGAAUGGGGCAAAUAAGCCAACAGCGAAACCCCAGCUCGGAUCCGCGCGGUAAGGAGCGCUGCGCGGGGAGCGCCGCUCGGAACACAGAGCGCAGCCCUCUCCUCCACCGCAGCCCUCUGCCCCCCUCCUCCCUCCCGUGAUUAAUUCCGGGGCUGUAAUCAUGGACAUCGCACAUCAAACCCUCCCGCCCGCUCUACGGACUCCCGCAGGUUUUUAUUGGUUUACAUGAAAGCGAGUAAACAUCUUUCCGAGGCUGCCCUUUCAAUCGGGCUCCAUUUCCAGGGCGCAUCAUUGCGAGGACAAUUUGUUUUAAUAAUAAGAAUGGAUGCGGCGUUAAUGGGUUUCAAUUUGUGUUUAGGAAAAAAAAAAAAAAAAGAAAGAAAGAAAGAAAGAAAGAAAGAAAGCAUUAAAUAUUUAUCAGUAUCGAUCGAGGGGGUCAGGAUUUUACAGCCGUCCUCGCACAUUUCAUAGAUGGGAUUCUUUUCCCUUUUUUUUUUUUUUCCUUUUUUUUUUCUUUUUUU
rnacentral:lncRNA from 1 species